rnacentral:lncRNA from 1 species
GUAUAUAAUCUACUACUGUUUUAACUUGCGCGUCGGACUAUACGAAUUUUUCUUUUGAGGGGCGGAGGUGGGAAGAAUCUCAUAAGGGAAUAUAAAGAGUUAAAGCUUCAACUACUUUUCAUCCUUCUCUUAAGUUCUUCAACCAUAAUAAUUCUCUGGAAAGCAUAGUACGUCUGAUUUUGACCACUUGGUUCUCUUGUCUAUAGCAAGAGAUUCCAAACGGUAACUUUUGGACCAGUUUAGUGUAAAAUAUAGAUGUUUUUCAUUGCUCGACAGUCGAAAAUAGAUAACUUAUUUGAAACUAAGAGGGUGUUUGGUAGGAAUUUUUAUGUGAAAAUGAAUUUUUGAAUGGUAAAUUGAUGGGAAAUGUGUGGUUGAAAAAUAAGAAAAAGUUUUUGAUUUACGUGUAACAUUAUUUUAAUAAAGAAUGUGUUGUUGAAAAGAAGAGAGAGAAAAAUGCAUUUUGAUAAAAAUGAGUGCCAAACAGGGCCUAAUUCAACUCGCUUAUUAUCAACCUAAGUAACAUCUUAUAGAAAGAAAUUCAACUUAAGUUUCAAUAUGUAAAUCAAAACAAGUAAACAACUCUAGUCACCAAAGUUAAUUUUAUUUCUUUCAAAACAGAACACUAAUAUUUAUAUGGUU